GGACGAAGCUUCCAGAGCCGCGUUGUUGAGGAAGAUCUCAAUCCCCACUGGAACGAGGUCUUUGAGGUGAUCGUCACAUCAAUUCCAGGCCAAGAGCUAGAGAUUGAGGUUUUUGACAAGGACCUGGACAAGGAUGACUUUCUGGGCAGGUGUAAAGUGAGUCUCACCACAGUCCUAAACAAUGGCUUCCUUGAUGAGUGGCUGACCCUGGAGGAUGUCUCAUCUGGCUGCCUACACUUGCGUCUGACCCCCCGUCCCACUGCUGCUGAGUUAGAGGAGGUGCUGCAGAUGAACAGUCUGAUCCAGACUGAGAAGAGUGCAGAACUGGCGGCAGCCCUGCUCUCUUGUCUACCUGGAGCAGGCUGAGGACCUGCAGCUCCGAAAAGGUACCAAGCCUCCCAGCCCUUAUGUACUCUUGCUUUGGGAGAUACUUCUCAUAAAACUAAGACUGUUUUCCAAAUGUCAGCCCCUGUCUGGGAUGAGAGUGCCUCCUCUCUCAUCAGGAAACCAAACUCUGAGAGCCUGCAGUUGCAGGUUCCGGGUGAGGGGACUGGCACACUGGGCUUGUUAUCCUUGCCUCUCUCUGAGCUUCUCGUGGCUGACCAGCUCUGCUCGGACUACUGGUUUGUGCUCAGCAAUGGUCCAGGGCAGGAGCUACUGCAAGCACAGCUAGGGAUCCUGGUGUCCCAGCACUCAGGGGUGGAAGUUCACAGCCACAGCUACAGCCACAGCUCUUCUUCUCUGAGCGAAGAACCAGAGCUCUGGGGGGGACUCCCUCACAUCACUUCCUCAGCCCCAGAGCUCCGGCAGCGCCUAACACACAGUGACAGUUCCCUUGAGGCUCCAGCCUGGACUCUGGGCCAGGUGAAACUGACUGUUUGGUACUACAGUGAAGAACGCAAGCUCAUCAGCAUCAUUCACAGUUGCUGGGCCCUUCGACAAAAUGGAUGGUAUCCCCCCGACCUCUACGUGUCACUGUUGCUACUGCCAGACAAGAACUGGGCCACCAAGAGGAAGACCUCACAGAAGAAGAGGACCCUAAAUCCUGAAUUCAAUGAACAGUUUGAGUGGGAAUUGCCCCUGGAUGAGGCCUUUCGGCGAAAGCUGGAUGUCUCUGUGAAGUCUAGUUCCUCCUUCAUGUCAAGAGAGCAUGAGCUGCUGAGGAAGGUGCAGUUGGACCUCGCUGAGAUAGACCUUUCCCAGGGUGCAGUCCAGUGGUAUGACCUCGUGGAUGACAAGGACAAGGGCAGCUCCUAGGAGCCAGAGAUUACCAGCCUGACUGCUCUGUCUCCUCGCCUCGCCUCUCGCCGCAUCACCACCUCAAUGUGAUGAGCCUAAAGCUUGGAGUCCGAGGGCAGAGCCUGCACCCCUCAGCCAUCUCACCUCCGAGGCCCAUGAUAGGGCCUUUGCAUGACCAAAGAGGAGCACUGUAUGUUACCCUUUACUGCACGGCCUUUAUCCUUCUGGGCUCCUGGGACAGGGACGUGAGCUGGCUAUUUCCUGCUCUGCCUGCACAUUCUCCUUUCUGCCCAACUCCUCAGGACCUUCUGUGUCUGUGCCUGGCCACUGGCAGCACUAGCAGUGGCAUUAGCUUAUGCCAAAUAC